GCCACCAGGGGCCGCUGUCACGGCAGUGCUGGGCGUCGAGCGCUGGCUUCUUCCCGCGCGACUCUCUCAGACGCCGGCGUCCCCGGUCCUGUAGAUCAGCAAAGCAUUUUGCAGAGGAAGAAACUUCAUUUUAAAGAGUUCACAUGGCUGGCCUGUUGUCACCGAACCUGCAGAUAGAAGAGGCAACACCCGUACUCAGCCCCACAAACACCUGGUGUGUCAGCUUACACCUGUAAUUUCUACACUGCAAGAUGGGAGGUGAUGACAGGAGACUCUGAAGCUCACAGGCCAGCUAUCCUUGAUAUGCAGAGCAACAGCCACAACAAGAGAGACUUCUCUCAACUAGGUGAAGGAGGGAACCAACUCCACAAGUCCUCCAAGCUCCACACAUGUACUGAGCAGCUGUGGACCCCACCUUAAUAAAAUACACUCCAUACCAUUGUUUUUCCAUUGAUGGUUUUUAAAAGAUCAUUCCAGGACUUUCCUUUGCACAGAUGUACAGAAAGGUUCGCCUAUCGUGUUCAAGGCCCCAUGCAUUAAUCCCAGCACCACCAAAAUCAAAGAUUUUUUGUUUUUAUUUGCAGUUAAGAAAAAGUCAUUUUUAACAAUGCCAUCUUCACGUCUUUAAGGACGGUUCAGUGGUUAAGAACACUGCAAGAGUAGUAGCCAGAAACCUGAGUUCCAUUCCCAGCAGCCUCAUGGGAUCUUGCAAUGGGGUCUGAUUCUCUCUGCUGGUCAUGAAGACAGGACACACA